rnacentral:rRNA from 1 species
CAUCCUUUAGGAAUUAUGAAGAAGCUCCUCUAGGGAUAACAGCAUUAUGCUUAAAAGAGUUCUUAUCAGAAUAAGCGUUUGUGACCUCGAUGUUGAAUUAAAUGCUCUUUUAUGUGCAGGAGCUUAGAAGAGACGGUCUGUUCGACCUAUUAUAUUUACAUGAUUUGAGUUAAAAUCGACGCAAGUCAGAUUGGUUUCUAUCCAGUGUAUAAAUUUUUAUUAUCUAGUAC